rnacentral:rRNA from 1 species
CUCAAAAACCUCACCUCCCAGUCCAGAAAAAUGCUUCACCACCACCACCACCUCCUCUCCUCCUCCGCCUCCUCCUUCCCUCCCGCCGCCGCGCAAUCCCUCCUCCUCCUCCCGCGACAGCCGACCGCCAGCCUGCGCGCCCUCCUCUCCAUGGCCGACGCCGCCUCAACCUCCAGCUCGUUCCGCCCCCCGCGCGCCGUGCUGGCGGCGGCGGUGCCGUCCCUGGGCGCCGAGGAGACCGCCGCGGCGGCCGACGAGGCAUUCCGGAGGCACACCUCGACGGGCCUUCGGAGGGGAGGUGGCGGCGUGGCCGUCGUGUGGUUCAGGAGCGACCUCCGGGUGCUCGACAACGAGGCGCUGGCGCGCGCGUGGGCGGCCUCCGGCGCCGUCCUCCCCGUCUACUGCGUCGACCCCCGCGUCCUCGCCGGCGCCACCCACCGCUUCGGCUUCCCCAAGACCGGAGGCGAGGCACACCACACCACAGCAAAUUUCCACGGCAUCGACGACACUGAAGCUCGAUUGAUCCGACUGACCGACUGACUGAUCGAUCGUUGCAGCACUGAGGGCGCAGUUCCUGAUAGAGUGCCUGGGAGACCUGAAGCAGAAUCUCCAGAAGCGCGGCCUCGACCUGCUCGUCCGGCACGGCAAGCCCGAAGACAUCCUCCCUGCGAUCGCCAAGGCCGUCAGCGCACACACAGUCUAUGCCCACAAGGAGACCUGCAGCGAGGAGCUUCUGGUCGAGCGCCUCGUGCGCAGAGGCCUGGAGCAGGUGGCCGUCCCUCAAGGACAAGGAGGAGCUUCUGGCCGGAGUAAUAAGCCUCUCAGCCCGAAGCUUCAGCUCGUCUGGGGGGCGACGAUGUACCACAUCGACGAUCUCCCGUUCCCUGUCAGCGACCUGCCGGACGUGUACACGCAGUUCAGAAAGGCGGUCGAGUCGAAGUCCUCGGUCCGGAGCUGCGGCAAGCUGCCGCCUUCGCUCGGGCCGGCCCCGGGUUCCGGCCUGGACGAGAUCGGAGGGUGGGGCUCGAUACCUACUCUGGAGUCAUUGGGUCUGAGUGUGACAAAGGCAGAGAAGGGAAUGCGUUUCGUCGGAGGAGAGAGCGCGGCGCUGGGAAGGGUCCAUGAGUACUUCUGGAAGAAUGAUCAGGUGAAAGUGUACAAAGAGACCAGGAACGGCAUGCUUGGGCCGGACUACUCCACCAAGUUCUCCCCUUGGCUUGCUUCGGGCAGUCUUUCGCCGCGCUAUGUUUGCGAAGAGGUUAAGAGAUACGAGAAGCAGAGAAUAGCAAAUGAUUCCACAUACUGGGUUUUAUUUGAGCUGAUAUGGAGAGACUACUUCAGAUUCCUUUCAGCAAAAUAUGGGAACUCCAUUUUCCACUUGGGGGGUCCGAGAAAAGUGGCGUCCAAGUGGAGCCAAGAUCAGGCAUUGUUCGAAUCUUGGAAAGAUGGUCGGACCGGGUACCCUCUUAUUGAUGCCAACAUGAAGGAGCUCUUAGCUACAGGUUUCAUGUCCAACCGUGGCCGGCAGAUUGUCUGCUCUUUUUUGGUCCGGGACAUGGGCAUCGAUUGGCGAAUGGGAGCUGAAUGGUUUGAAACAUGCCUUCUGGAUUAUGACCCUGCUUCAAAUUAUGGUAAUUGGACAUAUGGAGCAGGAGUUGGCAAUGAUCCACGAGAAGAUCGAUACUUCAGCAUCCCCAAGCAAGCCAAGACAUACGAUCCUGAUGGCGAAUAUGUCGCGUACUGGUUACCAGAGCUUCGUUCACUCGCAAAGGAAAGGAGGAACUUCCCAGGGGCCUCAUACAUCAAGCAGGUAGUUCCACUGAAAUUUGAUGGUGGGCAUCAGAGAAAAGAUCAGCAAUUCAACAGGCAGACAAGGCCAAAGAAUAUUUACAGAAGACAAAAGUAAUACAGUGUAUGUGUUGAUUACCAUGGAUGAAGAGUCAGUAGGAGAUGGGGCAAAUGUUACAAUAGUUGGUUCAAAAGCAAAUGAGAGGUGAAGUAUCACAAAGCUUCUGUGAAAUGUAUGUAUCAGUGACAAGGUGAGCUCAGAAGUACAAAACCUGAUCCUGAUCUUGCUGUACUGACCAACAGUCAAAAGAUAUGCUGAUGGUUUAUCGUGAC